rnacentral:lncRNA from 1 species
UAAGGACCUGGUCAGUUGGAAUCUCAUCAGUUAAGGACCUGGCCCAGGACAUGGAGAUGCCCGAUGCUGGGAGGAGGCACAGACAGCAGGAAGGAGAGAAGGAAGGAACUUCCAUAGUAUGGAUGCCUACGAAGUUACAACACGUGGUUCCAUCGCCAUGUUCUCUGUUUAUUUCCCACAUAAUUCUCUAUUCUAAACUGGCCUCAGUUGAGCACAAAACCAUCCUUGUACUACCACAAAUAGUUGGCCAUGGCUCUUUGAUAGCAGUUUUUAUUCUGCUGUGGAAAUUAUCCUUGAACUGGAAAAAGUCCCCAAUCCAACAUCCAGUCACUCAACACUCUCAUCUUUAUAAAGAGCUGCUUUCAAAUUCUACAUCGAUUUUUGGAAAAAUAUGUAUUGCUCUGGUAAAAAGUGCUGCAUCUAUGAUCUCAAACCUCUCCCUCGAAUUGGAUGGAGAUGGUGAAUUUCAGCCAAAGUGGCCAAAGAACUCGUGUCCCACGCUCCUGAACGCCAUCAGCCCCCGCACCUCCAUCAUUCCUCCUCCCACGAGUCUCCUGCUCCCCGUGACUUUGGCCUUCUCUCGGUGCUGCUGAGGCACAUCAGGAAGUGCUGGAGGACGUGGCACUGCGCCAGCACUGGGCGGCCGGCCGUGUAGCUCAUCCCGCAGAUCGUGCUCUACCUGUGCUUGGAGAUGAAGUCCUCCUGGAAGCAGCUCGUGGCCCACUUCUCAGGCAUCAUCACUUCAUCACUGCCCUGACUGUCCUGGUUGCCACGAAAGAGCUGCUGAGGCCACGGCUGUCGGGCACGCCUGCCGUCUGAAGCCUGCACCGGCUGCUGAAAGGUAUUCAGUGGUGGCACGUGCUGCGGCUGUAGCACCGGCUGGAAAGUGUCAGGAAGGGGUCUCAAGGAGGUGGGCAGCAUACCGGGCAUGGCCUCGAAGCCUCCUGACAGCAUGUUGGCAGCGUGGCUGAGAUGCUGGGGCCACCAUCACCUGCCAGUCCCAGCUUGGAGUCAUAGAUCACCUGCACGGCACAGAUGAGGCUGGGAAGAGGCCACAGUCACUGUAGCCAUGGACGCUCUUGAGCAGCCCUUGAUGUCCUGCUCCCGCACAGGCUCAGCACCUCGUGUUCCUGCAGCAAGUUCUUGCCGGGGUUCUCUGACCUGAAAUGGUACAACAACCGGGUGAGGUGUGCCAUGUCCCCUGCGUGGCCAUCGGUGCUGCAGCUAAAGGCCCAUGGCACCCCGGUGCCCUCCCCUACCAAGCAGGGCUGGGGUUGAGGCCGGGCCCCUCUGGACCUAGGACUUGUGCCCUGGGAGGGGACUCUGUCCAACAAGUCAAAUCAGAGGCCACAGGGCAUGCUCCUGGCUGGCCAGGGCUGGGAGGACACCACGUUCACCCCUCCCUCUGGCAGCCUGAAAGGGACCAGCUUCCCUGUUGAGAGGGACUUCAUAAGGCCCAGGAGCCAUCUGGGGCUGCAGAGCAACUGGCUGGGAGCUGCCCUGGCUCCUUCCAUGCCAUGCUAGUCAUUGCCCACCAAGAGGGGUCCGAUGCAAGUGCCCCCAUGCAAGGGACUUAUCUCUGGACCUGCCUCUCAGUUCUCACGGGGCCCAGCAGGGCCUGGUGUUGUGGCCAAGAUGGGGUUGCAGGGCUGGGCCCCACUGAUGGUCCUGGGGCUGUGUAGGGUGGAUGUGGAAGGGACGGAGCACAGCAUCCCUGUUCAAAAUUGCACAAUGGGAACCACGGGCCUCUGACAGCCAAGUCUCUGGGCAGCUUCGGGAGGGAGUUCAGAAAAUGCAUGGGUCCAUUCUGAACCCUCAGGAUCCCCAGAGAGCAACCUGCUGCCCUGAGCUUUCUGGAAGCUCCUUCGUGCCCCUGGGCCUCAGUCUUGGAGACUGCCAGCCAGGUCAGGGUGGGAGAGGACCAGGGUUGCAUUCCGGGGUAGGGGGCUGGCUGCAUGGACCCCUGGAGCUAAGCUGGUAGGCAGGGGCGGGCCAGCCCAUCUCCCUUGCAGAGGGGCUCAAUGCCAGGGUAUGCUCACAGAGGCCUGGGUGCCAAGGACCCUCGAUUGGGUUUGGCUGAAAAAAUAGCAGAUGCGAGCGGUCAGCUUCUCCUCCAAGUCCAUUAAGUCCUCACAAGGCUGGGCCCCACAGACCUGGGUCUCUGGUGUCCUCAGCAUCCCUGUGUGGCUUCUUGAGUCUGACUCUGAGGACACCCCUGCAGGCUGCUGAUCACAGAGCAAGAGGUGUGUGGAUCCCUCAGGGCACGGGGAGCUGUUGGGGCACCUCACGUCACUCCUGGGGCUGUGGCUUAGGAUUCAGGCUGGCUCCAGACUUCCUCCUUCACCUCCUCAUCCCAGGGCUGUGUGGCCUGGGUAGCAGCCCUAAUUCAGAACCAGGUGGGAGAGGCCUUGGCUGUCACCUAGCCCCCUUGCCACCUCACACAAGACACUAUCUCCACAGUGGGUGAGAUGGUCCCAGGCACGGGGCCCCCUUUGCCCUCCAGGACCGUCCACUCCAUGCCUGGACGGGACCAUUCCCACACCUGCACCUGGCUGAACUCUUGGAUCUGGCUCUGGCCAGGGCUCCUAUCCGUGUCCUCUCCCCAAGUCCUCUGGGUCAGUGACACUGAUUCUCUUUUUCCCCUGGCUCAAGGCUUAUUGCCCUGACGUCCUUGGAGGGGGAUUCUGGAGUGAGCGGCCCCUGCUCCUCUCAGCAUCUGUCGAUGUUGGGAUGGUGGUUAGGGAGCUCGCACAGAGGAGAGAGGAUGUAAAAAGCAUAGGGGGCGUUGAGGGUUCUUUCUCCAGUCCCUGCCUGUCUGAGCAGCAUGUCCAGUACAUAUGCGCUCAGCACCUGCCCAGAAGCUGCUUAGUGUAGAGGAGGAAAAGACAGAAAAAGAGGUGCAGGAGGAAGGGCCAGGUAGUAGGGCUGGUGGGGCCGGGGCCCUCUCCACUAUCGAAUGCUCCAGAGGAUGACUUAGGAGAGGGGACCUGGUGCUGGAGCCCACGAGGGGGUGGCAGAUCCCAGCACUGGCUCAUCAGUUCCCCCACAAAGGCCUCAAAGUGCCUGAGCACUGUGGCAUCCUCCAGGGCCCAGGCCUGGGAGCACCGGUCCUGAAAGAACUCCCUCCCACAGGGUGGACUGGGACAGGUUCAUGGUCGCUCAAGGGACAGGAAGGGCAUCAGGCCGGGAGGGGUUCCUGGAAGGGGUUGGUGCCCACACCCCGUUUCCAACACUGCCACCUCCCACUGAGCAGCACUGGGUCCUUCUGUGGCCAACCCUGGGGUCCAGCUGUGCACAGGAGGCCAUGGCCGGGGGAGGCCCGGGCAGGGAGGUUCCCACCACACUCCCACCUUUCACAUGGAUCACUCAUUUCAAGGGUGGGCUCAGGGUCUGGGAGAACCCACUAUGCCCUGCCCAGCCCUACAGGCCAGGCCUGGCCAUCCCUGGCCAUCCCUUCUGAUGAGAGCAGAAGGUCAUGGGGACAGAGGCCUCAGGCCAGCCAGGCUGUGUCCCAUGAGUUCCCCAGGAAACCUCAGACACAGGGGGACUUGCUUCUGUGAACCUCGAAGGCCGUGGGCGCCAUUGCCAUUAUUGCAUGCUUCAUCUUCAGGCUGAACCCGAAGGGGAUCUGUGGGGACAGCAGGUGUGAGAGGACCUGGCCCUUCCAGGCUGGGAGCUGGUGGCCCAAGCAGGGCCCACUGUGGUUUCAGUCCCCUGGAGUGCCAGGGACCCGUCCCCAUGGGAUGAGCUGCCACCAUGAGGCUGGGUCAGAAGAGGUCUUGCAGCUCCUCAUGGAGGGGACUCAUCUCAGCAGGGAUGUAGCUCCUGGAGGGAGGGGCUCCCCAGGGCCUUGGACUUCCCCGGGCUCUUCCAAGUGGAGACCUGGCCCGUUCUGCCCUGGCCUCUGCUGUGGGAUGCCCCCUCUCAGGUGUUGCCUGGCUUGUGUGCCCUGUGGGGACCCGCCUGUGCCUCCUGCUGGGUGGGGGUGAGCCAGGUCCUCCUGGGGAAGCCGGACCCCUGGGCUGGGGGAGCCAAGCAGUGCGGGGCAGGAGGGUCCCUGGACUGGGAGCUUCCAGUGCCUCAUUACCCCCAUUUAAAGCACCAGAGGAGCCAGUGUAAACGUGGAAUUCUGGGCAUGCAGCUCAUCCUUGUCCUGAUGGGAGGAGCAGAGGUGCUCAGGGCCCCUUGGGCUGCCCCCAAAACAUCCCUAUUUCAGGCCCCUCUGCAGCCCUUCCCUGAGGGACAGAACACUGGGCGGUCCCCAGGGCACCCCGCCACACCUGCCCCCCGCAUGGACCUUCGGUGGACACACUUCCCUUAGCCCAGCUCAGCCAGAGCCCAGUCCCCGUCCCAGAGCCUCUGCCUGCUCCAGAGCAGAAAAAGGAAACCCAACUACAAUCCCAUGGAGAACCCCACAUCCCAGGUCUGGCCCCUGCUGGGACUCAACCUCUCACCCCCUAUGAGGAGGAGCCAGAACCUCCCUCUACCCCUGAUCCCCAAGCCUCUGGGGAAGAGCCAAGGGGACCGUCUCCUCACCAAGUCCUCAUAAGCUUCGGGGAUGAUGUCCAUAACACGUGUCCCGGGUGGGCUUAGAGUCUCUGGAGCCUGGCACAAUUUGAACUGCAGAAUCCUGAGAGCCCACAACCUAUCACAAAAUCAAAGCCUGCUCCCAAGACGUGGAGCCGUCAGCUGGAAGAGCUGGCACUGGCAGGGGUCCUCAGACCCCCAGGUCUCCCACCCUCCCAUCUGGCCCCUCCAGCAUGCAGCCUUGGCCCAGGGGAGGAGGGGCAGGAAUGUCCCCGGGAUCCUGGCGGGAGGAGCUGCCCAGUGGGGGCCCUGAGCUGAGGUAUUAGGAGGAGAGGCCUGCCGUGGAGGCCAAGAGGGAGGAACGUGGCAGGCAGGGGCCAGCAGGGUGAGCGGGGUGGGUGCUGGGGGUGCAUUACUGUCUUCUGGACAUUCAUAGGGUCAGGCUAGGGGACAUGCGAUGAGGAAGCAUUACUGUCUGGGUUUCAUCUGCCUGUCUGAGGGUGACGAGGACGGCUAGGAGCACAGUCAGCCACCAGGAGGCAGGAGGACCCUCAGGGAGGUGAGCGUUGCCUGCGCAAAGUCGGGGUUGGAGGACCAAGCCUCCGGGAUACAGAAGGUAGCCACAGGGAGGCUGUGAUGCCCUCUGCUGAUGGGGAUGAGAGGCAUCUAACUCAGGGUGUGGGGGUCCCUAUCCAGUCCCAGGCUCCUGCAUGACCCACAGCAGGCAACAUCCUAGAGGCUCCAAACGAGCUGGGGACACAAGGAAGGCUCCUUGCCUGGAAGCUGAGAUCACCUAGCCAGGGUGACCAUCCCCAGGCCUGGCUGUGUGAGUCCCCAUGGGCAGCUGUCCACCUACCCUGCAAGGAGUGCCUCUCACCAGCCAGCAGCUGGGCCACCACUCAGAAGGUAUCUUUUCUGGGCAGAUAGAGGAGAGUGGCAGCAAUGCAGCUCAUGGCCCUGCAGUAGCCCAGCUCCUGCAAGAGUCAGAGUCACCAUGGAAGGAUGUCACCUGGGAGGGCUGAGGUCACCUGAGAGGACUGAUGUCAUUGAGGAGGCCUGCCACAGGCCCUGUGGGAUUUGGGGUGCAGCCUGUUCACCCCUCUCCUGACACUGGGUGUCAGGACUGAGCAAGUCACGCACGUCUCAGUUGACAAGGAGUCCAGAGAGAUUCCUGUAGCGAGUGUCCAAGCCCACAUGGCCCGAGAGGACAUAGGAGAGGACCGUGGAUGUCCCUCCCCCUCAGAUGCCAGGCCAGGGAGGCCACCGUGCCAGGCUUGGGACAGCAUCUGUGAGCUAGGCUGGCCAACAGGGCGGGCUGGGGGCCCACCGCAUACAGGGUCCUGGGAAGACCCAGGGGCUGCCUGCCAGGUAUGAGAGGGAGGCUGGGUCCAGACCCUGUGUGUGCAGCCCAUGGAGCCAGCUCAGUGGCUGUCCCUCCAGGAGUGAUCUGGAAACUGGGGGCACAGUGGGAGCAGGCACUUCAGGAACCCCCUCCCUGUCUGCUGCGCUCCAGUGGGGUUCGGGCGGAGGGGACAUUGGAUCCCUGCCAGUUUUCCAAUGAAGGAACAGCUUCCGCGGGAUCCACACUCAUUUCGUGACAAGAGCGACGUCCAUCGGGUACUUUGGCAACUUGUCAAAAAUGCCUCCUGGGAGGACCACUUUGGGACACUGACCAGCUCCUGGACCUUGGGGCAAGCCCAGGAGGAGGGUGUCAUUUCUUGUUCUGAGAUUGGGGGUCAGGCUCAGGUCAGACCAGGAGUCUGUGCCUGAGCCCUCUCCAUCUCAGCAUGACCCCUCUGAGACCCUCCCUCCCUGCCUCGCUUGAAUGUUCAAGCCAACAGCGAGCUUGAGUCCUACCGGCUGCGUCUUGGUAGGUGUCAGAUACUGAAUUUUAAAGAAGCAAUGACACCCCCUACCCAAGACACCCGUGCCUAUGAAUAUGGGAAUGUGACCCGCGAAUAUUGUUGCCUUGGAAUACUCAUGGGAUUAGGUGCAAUAUGCCACCAGGACAAGAAAGACAUGCUGCAGCCUAGGAAAGAGAGAAAAGAGGGUUUGGGUUCACACGGAUGCUGUUUUGUUCUCUCUAUCGUGUUCCAACAAGGAAUCCAAUUCCAGGUCCAGAUGAUGCGCAGAAUAAGCAGUGAGCUCUUCAGGGCCACUGAGUUUUAUGAAAUGUUUUGGUGAAAGUGGAUUUUACUAUUCCCGGGUUGAAGAUUGUCUUGGUGGCCUUCAACUGUGAGUGACGGUGAAUCAAGCUGUGGACGUGGCAUGCAGGUUUUACAUGGCCAUCAGUUUUCAAAUCAGUGGGAUCAGUCUCUGAGAAUCUUCUGGGACAUGUGGCACGAGUCCACCGAGUUUCGUGCAGAGCCGCCCAACGGGUUCCCAAAGGGGCUGUGCCCUGUCGCAUUCCCACCUGGCAGGGACAAAGGUCCCCGGGACCGCACAUCGUCUCGGCAUUUGGUGUCGUCAGUGUGGCUUGGGAAGGCUCCCGAGCCCCUCAUCCUGCCGCCCUCCCGUAGGUUACUGAACUUUCCACCAUUUCUCAUGAUUUUGUUCAUUGCUCUCUGUCUCCUCGGGAGCCACCUGGGCUCCGGCCCCACAUAUCCCAGCCAGGCCCAGGGCUUGCAACCAGGAAGGCACUCAGUCUAUUGUGCUAGCUGCUCCCUGGGCCUGGAAAGCUUUUGGUAGCUCUGUCACCCCUCCUGGGUGACCCCUGCCUCUGCUCUGGUGAAGCUCCCAUCCCUCUGGUUCACGCCAUCUCCCCAGGGCUCUCCAGCCCUGCAAGCCUUAAUUGACACUGCAUUGUGGCCAAAACAUCAUGUGGUUUCUUAGUGUAUGGCUGACAUCCAGGUUGAUCUGGUGGAAGUUCCAGGGGGGACCUCUUUCCCUUCAUCUUCAUGACCUCCAGGGCAGGGCCAGGAAGAGGAAGCAGCCUCUGAACAGAGAGAAGACUGGCUGCCCCACACGGCAGUCGUCCACAGGCAGCCCGGAAGGAAGGAAGGAAAGAAGGAAAGGAAAGGAAAGGAAAGGAAAGGAAAGGAAAGGAAAGGAAAGGAAAGGAAAGGAAAGGAAAGGAAAGGAAAGGAAAGGAAAGGAAAGGAAAGGAAAAAGGAAAGGAAAGGAAAGGAAAAAGGAAAGGAAAAAGGAAAGGAAAGGACAGGAGGAAGGAAGGAAGGAAGGAAGGUUGGUUUCCUUCUGCAGAAAGCUCCUCCUCUGGCUUGGUUCCUUACAAUCCAACUAGUCCUGGAGCUCAGCUCACCUUUGGUGCUGGCAUCACCGUCUCUGCCCAGGAUGUCCGCCUGACCAUGCCCCCUCCACCUUCAACCCAGGCUCUGCGUUCCCUCCAGCUGGAGGCUUGGGCUCUCAACACAGCCUGGCCUGUUUGUCCUCCUCUGGCUGACUUCGGAAGGGUCAUACCUCGUAUUUCCACCAGUUCUCGGCCUUCACCUUCUCGACAUCCAGGAAGUGUGACCACACUUGGCCCCACAUCUAUGGAGAAUGCCUUUAUACACGCUGUCUAUCAACUUGGGACAGAACACUCUGAAGAAACAGGGUCUGGGGCAGCCCCAGGGAGGAUCGGAGCCUGAGGAUUCUGGAAGUCUCCAGUCUCUGACUUGUUGGUUUUUCAGGGGAUGUGCAGUUUACCUAGGACCAGGCCUCCCUCCCACGAUUCAGAGUUAUGAAUUCUCAUCUUGACCUAUUCCUUCCUUCGGUUUGCCAGGGGGUGUCCCUAUCCCUGAGAUAGUCCUGGCUCAUGCCCUGGCAUCACACUGUCUCCAGCAAGUUGAGGUUUGCAGGGACAAACAGGAAAGCUGGUGACCAGACCUGCUGUCCAGGGUGAGGACAGUGUGUCACCCACCCUCUGAGAGGCAGGCAGUGCCAGGACCCAGCCAUGGGAGCCCAUCCCCCUGACUCUGUAGAGAGCGGUCACGGGGGCCCUCCCUCCCCAUGUCACCUCCUUGCCACUCCUAUAUCCCUGCCCGUCUUGAAGCAUCUGGAGCCAUUUCUCUGUGCCUCUCAUCUCCUGACGUCUUUGCUGUCAACUAUGACCAGAAGUUAGCGGAGCUACCAAGGCUUCCUGAAGCAGCCUUUGGAUGCUGUAUCCUGGGCUCCGAGGCCCUGACGGGACUGAACCACAAAAAGAACCAGGAAAGGGCAGGCCCCGGGGACUGAGACCCUCUGACUGAACAGGCGUCUGUGACCUGGCCUCACGACCUGGGACAUGCCAUCCUCAGGCCACAGACACUGGACUUUGGUCAAGUACUAGCCUCCAGGUGGGGUCCUGGUGCAAGCAGACAGCAACCCCCGAGCCGUGACUGCGGUUCUCAGUUUGGAGUUUGGUCAAACAACCAAUGGGGACAGAGUCUUGGGGUCAGGUCCAGCAGGAACUGCCACCCCUCCCAGGGACAGCCUGUCUCUCCCACUCACCAUCGCUGGUGCCCACGGGCUGCUGACCACCUGCCAAGUCCUCCUGUCCCUGGACCAGCCUCUCAGGCAGCAGGUCUUACCUUUGCCUCCAGGGCACUGAUCGAUGGCAGCUUUGUCUCACUGUAAGGCAACCCAGACAGAGCUGAGGGCCUGUGCUGGGCCGGGAGCUGUCCUCCUCCUUCCCUAGCAGUCCUAGGGAAGGACCAGCCGUGUCUCUCCCCACCCCACCCCUGGUCUUAGCCCAGGAGACACACAGGGAAGGUAGGAAGAGGGUCUCCCUGUGGGCUGACGCCUGUGAAGGGACAGGACCUGGGAGAAGAGGGGUGUGUGGGUGGGGCAGGGACCACUAGGGCCCUGUAGAGCAUGGGCUUGGGCUACACAACAGGGCUGCCCCUCCUGGGCUAGAGGCAGUGCCCUCUGCAGGAGCUGAGAAAGUCCAGUCCUGAGAAAGGACGUGUAUGGCCCAGGGUGGGUGACUGGGCCCCAAAAGCAGUCCUCGAGGGAGUGACCACAUUACCAGGCCAGGAUCCUGAGACCUGCCCAGUGCACUGAGGGUGCACCUGGGGCCUGUCCCACCUGAUGUCCCCAAGUGCCCCGCAAGGUCUGAUCUCUCAGCCUCCAUCUACCUCCCCCGGGGGGUGGGGGCUUGCUUUGAGCUGUCCCCACCUUUCUGGAUAGAACUAAUGUACUUCUUACAUAUAUUGAUUGAUGUCUCAUGUCUCCUUAAAAUGUAUAAAAGCAAGCUGUGGGCCAGGCGCAGUGGCUCACGCCUGUAAUCCCAGCACUGUGGGAGGCCGAGGCUGGUGGAUCACGAGGUCAGGAGAUCGAGACCAUCCUGGCUAACACAUAGAAACUCCAUCUCUACUAAAAAGUACAAAAAAUUAGCCAGGCGU